UCCCGGCAGUUCAAGUCGCAGCCACAAUUAUUGGGUCUAAAACAUCCGUAGCUUGUUUUGAAAGUCUCUUGUGAAAUCCUAUACCUUAAGUAUAGGGCGUGCAAGAGAUACUACAAAGCUAGAGACUGGAAGACGCAAAGAGUACAAAUGGGGUAGCAGUAAAAUGCGUUGAUCCUAUUUGGACUAACAACAGCGAAGGCACUUUGCGAGUACAGUUCUGACAGUAAGGGAUGAAGGCUAGGGUCGCGAAAAG
rnacentral:rRNA from 1 species